AUGCAAGUCGAACGAACUCUUCGGAGUUAGUGGCGCACGGGUGAGUAACGCGUGGGAAUAUGCCCUUUGGUGCGGAACAACAGUUGGAAACGACUGCUAAUACCGCAUAAUAUCUACGGAUCAAAGAUUUAUCGCCAAAGGAUUAGCCCGCGUCUGAUUAGGUAGUUGGUAGGGUAAAGGCCUACCAAGCCGACGAUCAGUAGAUGGUUUGAGAGGAUGAUCAUCCACACUGGUACUGAGACACGGACCAGACUCCUACGGGAGGCAGCAGUGAGGAAUAUUAGACAAUGGGCGCAAGCCUGAUCUAGCCAUGCCGCGUGAGUGAAGAAGGCCUUCGGGUUGUAAAGCUCUUUCAGAUGUGAGGAUAAUGACAGUAGCAUCAGAAGAAGCCCCGGCUAAAUUCGUGCCAGCAGCCGCGGUAAUACGAAUGGGGCAAGCGUUGUUCGGAAUCACUGGGCGUAAAGCGUACGUAGGCGGCUUUUCAAGUCAGGAGUGAAAUCCCAGGGCUCAACCCUGGAACUGCUCUUGAAACUGGAUCGCUAGAGUCCCGGAGAGGUUGGCGGAAUUCCGAGUGUAGAGGUGAAAUUCGCAGAUAUUCGGAGGAACACCAGUGGCGAAGGCGGCCAACUGGACGGGAACUGACGCUCAGGUACGAAAGCGUGGGGAGCAAACAGGAUUAGAUACCCUGGUAGUCCACGCCGUAAACGAUGUGUGCUAGUUGUUGGGCAUCAUAGAUGUUCAGUGACACAGCUAACGCGUUAAGCACACCGCCUGGGGAGUACGGUCGCAAGAUUAAAACUCAAAGGAAUUGACGGGGACCCGCACAAGCGGUGGAGCAUGUUGUUUAAUUCGAAGCAACGCGAAGAACCCUUACCUACCCUUGACAUACUUGUCGCACUUACCAGAGAUGGUUUGUUUCAGUUCGGCUGACAAUGUACAGGUGCUGCAUGACUGUCGUCAGCUCGUGUCGUGAGAUGUGGGUUAAGUCCCGCACGAGCGCAACCCUUAUCGUCUGUUGCAGCACGUAUGUGGACUCUGACGAGACUGCGGUGAUAAGUCGAAGAAGCCGGGAAUGACGUCAGGUCAUCAUGGCCUUAACGGUAGGCUAACAAACCG
rnacentral:rRNA from 1 species